UACGUAGGGGGGCUAGCGUUGUCCGGAAUCAUUGGGCGUAAAGCGCGCGUAGGCGGCCCGGUAAGUCCGUUGUAAAAGUCAAAGGCUCAACCUUUGAAUGUCAGUGGAUACUGCCGGGCUAGAGUACGGAAGAGGCGAGUGGAAUUCCCGGUGUAGCGGUGAAAUGCGUAGAUAUUGGGGAGGAACACCAGUGGCGAAGGCGGCUCACUGGACCGGUACUGACGCUGAGGCGCGAAAGCGUGGGGAGCAA
rnacentral:rRNA from 1 species